rnacentral:lncRNA from 1 species
GUCUGUCAGUGUAAAUGUCAAAUAUCUGUCAUAUUUUUUAUUUUGAUAGUUUCAAACAAAACAAAACAUUACAAAUGAUAAAUUUUUAUGAUCAAAACAAUUAAUUAUAAACAAUCAUUAUGUCGCACUGUGAUAUGCCAAUUUGCUCUAAAAUUGGAGUAAAUAAAAUUUUAGAAGACGAAAAUUAUUAGUCACGGUUUGACUGACAGAUCUCCAUACAGAGCAUGCAAGGAAAAAGACAAAUAAAACUACUACUUCCUGUGUUUAGAUGCAGCUAAAACAAGCAUGUGAGAUAUAUGUGAACAAUGCACAGCCAACAUUGGAUCCAUAGCGAUGUUCCACUAGGCAACCAAAGGGUCUACACCAAGGGACCUGUAGAAGUGCAGAAAAUCUUAAUAUAUAAAUGUGAAAGGUCGAUUAAAAUUGUCACAAUAUCUUCAAAACCUUUUUACAUACAAAGUUGAAAUUUGACAGGAAGAAAGUUCAUAGGUAGUAGAUGUCCACUAAGAACUGAUUUUGCAAGAGGCUCGGAUUAAGGAGCUCUAAGGGUGGAUGAAGAUGCGGACAUCUGUUAGUUCCAUAAAAUGUUUUCAGAGCAAAAUAAUGGAAGAAAUCUCAGGGUUUCAUUUGGCCAACACAACUACAAUUUUCCUAACAAAUUCUCAUGGAAAAUUAUUUGUUUCUACUACUUCUCGUGAAUGCUUUAUUUUGAAUUAUUAUAAAAUAAAAACUCUUUUAAAUUAAAUUAUCAACAUGAA